rnacentral:rRNA from 1 species
GGGAACGUACCCUUCGGUUCGGAAUAACUCAGGGAAACUUGAGCUAAUACCGGAUACGCCCUUUUGGGGAAAGGUUUACUGCCGAAGGAUCGGCCCGCGUCUGAUUAGCUUGUUGGUGGGGUAACGGCCUACCAAGGCGACGAUCAGUAGCUGGUCUGAGAGGAUGAUCAGCCACACUGGGACUGAGACACGGCCCAGACUCCUACGGGAGGCAGCAGUGGGGAAUAUUGGACAAUGGGCGCAAGCCUGAUCCAGCCAUGCCGCGUGAGUGAUGAAGGCCUUAGGGUUGUAAAGCUCUUUUGUCCGGGACGAUAAUGACGGUACCGGAAGAAUAAGCCCCGGCUAACUUCGUGCCAGCAGCCGCGGUAAUACGAAGGGGGCUAGCGUUGCUCGGAAUCACUGGGCGUAAAGGGCGCGUAGGCGGCCGAUUAAGUCGGGGGUGAAAGCCUGUGGCUCAACCACAGAAUUGCCUUCGAUGCUGGUUGGCUUGAGACCGGAAGAGGACAGCGGAACUGCGAGU